UUAAUUGAAACCAAAAAGAGGUAUAUCACUGUUAAUGAUAUCAUUGUAAAUUAUUACCAAUUAAA
rnacentral:tRNA from 1 species